CUUACCUGGGUUUGACAUGGAUCGGAAGCUUCCAGAGAUGGUUGUGCCUCUUUUGGGGUCGGUUCACAGGUGGUGCAUGGCUGUCGUCAGCUCGUGUCGUGAGAUGUUGGGUUAAGUCCCGCAACGAGCGCAACCCUCGUCCACUGUUGCCAGCAAUUCGGUUGGGGACUCAGUGGAGACCGCCGGGGUCAACUCGGAGGAAGGUGGGGAUGACGUCAAGUCAUCAUGCCCCUUAUGUCCAGGGCUUCACGCAUGCUACAAUGGCCGGUACAGUGAGUUGGACAUCGUAAGGUGGAGCGAAUCUCAAAAAGCCGGUCUCAGUUCGGAUUGGCGUCUGCAACUUGACCUCAUGAAGUCGGAGUCGCUAGUAAUCGCAGAUCAG
rnacentral:rRNA from 1 species